AGUGGGAAAAAAAGCUGGAAAACAUGAAUCCGAAAGGCCGAGAAACCAGGAGGUGAAUAAACAGAACCCUCCUUGUGUCCUGUCCUCAUCUGGCUAUCGGUGCUUGGUAUCCCAGCCCAGGAAUACAAACUAUAGAUCUGAACUGAGCGGCGCGUCUGUGAAGGAACACAGAUGUCACUCCAGCGUUCACUUCCAAACCUGCUGUUCCAGCCCUGCCUCUCUGGGGUAGCAGCCAAGUUGAAGGUGGCAACACAGCAGUCUUGGUGCUGAUUGUCCAGAAAAUGGCAGAAGAGAGCGCUGAAGUGAUAAGUGAUACCGAUUUCAGCCUAAAAUGCAUUAAAGAUAAAUGGAUCCCAGUUACCGUUACUGUUGUCAUCACAGCUUUGAUCAUCACCGUAAUUGCACUGGCGGCCAAGAAGCCUCCCCCCUGCCCACGCUGCCCACCCCAUGUCACUGCUGCGUGCCCGGACCGCUGGGUGGGAUACCAAGGGAAAUGCUUCUACUUCUCAGAGACUGAAGGGAACUGGAACAACAGCCAGAGCCACUGCUCUUCCCUCAAUGCCUCCCUGGCUUCCAUUGAUUCCCUGCCGGAGCUGAAUUUCACACUGCGCUAUAGUGGGAUCCCUUACCACUGGAUUGGCCUCUGGAGGGAACAAGGCGAGGGCCAGCCCUGGAAGUGGACCAACGGUACCAUAUUCAACAACCUGUUUCAGGUCAGAGGGGAAGGGCAGUGCGCCUACCUGGAUGAAUAUGGGGUCAGCAGCUCCAGGUGCUACUCAGAGAGACAUUUCAUCUGCAACCGGCUGGCCGAGUGCUCUAGAAGGAAGCCAAGUGCCGCAAGAGGGGACACAAUGUCUAAGAUCACGUAAAGGGUCAAUGCAGCCUCUUCAGUGGAUGCAGAACUUACACAUUCAUCAUCUCUUGUGCAGCAUCCUACCUCUGCAACCAUUUCUCCCUCCAGAUCUCUGCUGAAAAACCAUCUUUCAAUGCUCAGAACACUAACUCUACUGCAGAAUAACUUCAUUACCAUGGUACUACUGAACAGGUGCUUUAGAGCUUGGUAUGUGCGCUGGUGAGUUCUUUGAUGGCUGCCGAGUCCGAUGGGCGAGUGACAGUCCAGUCCACAGGUACGACACACCCACACAUUAGCAACGCUCUGAAUCCAAGCAGCAGAUUCUUUCCUCCUUCGAUGCCAGUCAUCACAAAGCUUGAUCCAAUCCUCCUCAUAAUGCCUCGCUCCAUCUACAAGCUGACUCUGCCAACCGGUGUGGCAUUCUGCGUUCCUUUCCCAAUCAUCCACAGAGAUUCCAAAGGACACUAAGCUUUGCAAGCAUCCCGGGAUCUGUGCAGCGGCCUGCCUCUCUUUCUAGACUCUUCACGAGCGUCAAAGUACUGCAAACUCUUGAGGAUCCUGUAAUCCGGCAUUCACGUGACAUGACCAAGCUGCCUGAGCCCUUUCUUACUAAUUAAUGUUCCCGUAAAUGACAUGCCAGCACGAUUUAGCACUUCCACGUUUGUCACCCUGUGUUGCCAUCUUCGUUGAAGAAUUUUACCCAAGCAUCUGACAUGGAAGCUGGUUAAUCUGCUGGUAUGUUUGGUGUAAGUCGUCCAUGUUUCUGAGUCAUACAGAAGAGUGGAUAACACACACGUUUUAUAAAUACGGCUUUUCACUUUAAUUGACAAUUUGUUAUUGUUCCAGGCUCUGUCUUGCAAAAGACAAAAGUUCCCGGCUGCUUCGCUGAUUCUGCUUGUGAGCUCAGCAUCAGUAUCUACAUGGCUGUUAAUGGCAGAGCCAAGGUAGCAAAAUUGGUCGACACCAUCCAGACGAAUAACCCCUAAGGUGAUAUCUGGAACUGGCUCCUUGCUAGCCCAGAGAUUUUGCAUGAAUCAGAGCACUUAGUAAUAAGGUGUUGCAGGGCAUCAACAUGGUAAGCCACAAGGGUUGCAUCCAGUGAUGAGCUACCAAAAUAUUAACAACCGGUUCCCUCCUCCUCACCCCAUGAGGGGGUCAUGCCCCCCCGGGAACUCC